rnacentral:tRNA from 1 species
UAGUUCAGUUGGUAGAGCAUGGUGUUUGCAACGCCAGGGUUGUGGGUUCGAAUCCCAC